GGUUGUGAAAGUGAUCUGGCUGCAACAUCUGUCACUCAUUGAUGGCCAGGGUUGAUUCAGUUGAUCUGGCUGACUAGGCUGAUGUACUCUUCCUCCCUCACAGCUCCAUGUGCGUCCCUCCCAAAGUUGUGCUCACUGUUGAAGAGGACGACCUUCCCCAAAUAGAGAUGAAUGGUUUUCAGUCGAGGGUAUAGGAGUAGCUGCACUCCCCUGCUAUAACCUCCAAAUAAGCUCUCAAGAAUGAUGAACCCAUCUUCUCUGACCCAUCUUGGAUGGAGCUAGAAGGAAUUAUGUUAAGUGAGCUAAGU
rnacentral:snRNA from 1 species